rnacentral:tRNA from 1 species
GUUGAUCUGGCUCAGUGGUAGAGUGCUUGCCUUGCAUGCAUGAGGCCUUGGGUUUGAUUCCUCAGUACCACA